CCAAAAAACAACGCGGGUCCCAGAAUUUUGAUUAUCUCUCAAAACUUUAAAUAUACCAAAAUGUUUAGGGCAAAAUUGAUAGCUAAAGCUCGUCCACCAUUCUCCAUCUUCCGCCAUUCUCCUUCGUCGCUCACCCCCGUCACCUUCACCCACUUAUUGCCAACACUUGUCAUCGCUCCAUCACCAUCGGUCCCUCGUCGCGGUUGUCACCUCCAACACCGACGAUUGUGUUAAAAGAAGCCACAACAGGAAUUGGGAUACGCUGGUGACCACCUUUCAACGAAAUCAUUUGUUUUCCUGUCUCAUCUAUGUUUAGCUUCCUUCAUUUCUCGCGAUCCUUAUGGUAUAUUUGGAGGUAUGGUUAGAUUUGUUCACAUAUUACCUGAUUGGGAUUAUUAACUGUAAUUGUUGAUAGGGUUUUAACGAAAUCGAGAAUUAGGUAAAUCAAACAUGGAUUAUAUAUUGGCGUUUGACUAAUCUGUGUGUAUAUGUGUCGACUUUUGACUAAUUUGGGUGAAUAUGUGCAUUUGGUUGUUUUCCAUGUUUUUUGAACUUGAAACUUUAGGAAUUCAAUUGUUUUUUCAAACGAAGGUAACAUUGGUAGACUGCAAAAGAGAUCAAUUUUCACUAAUUUAUCCCUUUCUUCUCAGUUUGAAACUCAAUUUGUAUGUUAUGGGACAUGAACUAGCGCAAUUGGAUUGGGUUGGUUUGUAUGCCUUUGAAUCGAGGAAACAUGGUCUGUGGAUUCACGUUUUUUGGUUUGCUGGAGCUCCGAUUUAGAAGGAGAGACAUAAAGUUUUCAAUUGUACGAGAUGGAGAAGCUAGAAGAACAAGAUAAAAGGUCUAUUCAAGUAGCAACUUCAUGCAACACAGGUAUCAAUUCAAAGACUGAUGGGAUCUUUCCAUAGAUUCGUGGUUCAGUGAGAUAGACAAGCAAAUUCACUUUGAUAACAUGGUUAAUAUUUUGGCAUCUAGGUAUAAAUGUGCAAAGAAAAUAAGCUUCGACUGAAGCUUUUAUAGGUACGACUCAUAUUCAAUUCUUGCUAAUCUUUAUGGAUGGGGUGGUGGUGGUAUCCAUAAUGGGUUUUAAUUUAUGCAUAAGGCAUUAGUUUUGUUUGUUAUUUAUGUGCUUUAUGAACAAUGACUAAUAAAUUUGACUCAUCAUUGAAGAUGAUAUAAUGGAACAUGUUUCACCUUUUCAACGGCUACCCAAUUCACAAGGAAUGUACAAUUAUAUAUUGUAGAAUUUGGAUGAAGUUUCAACAAAACCAGCAUAGUAGGAUGCAAAAGAAGCACAAUAGGUUAUUUAGAAUUGUUGAAAACAUUUGUAUUUUAAAUUUUGAGAAUAUUGUUGUUAAACAAGUUACAUUUUAAUUUAAGUAAUUAUAUUGUAUUUUUUUCA